ensembl:lncRNA
GUGGGGUCAUGGGAUCGGUGGAUGACAUGGGUGGGGUCACCAAUGGGAUCAUCGGUGACAUCAGUGGGAUCAAUAGGAUCAGUGGAAUGGAUGGGAACAUCAGUGGGCUGGGUGGGAUCAUCAGUGGGGUCAUGGGAUCGAUGGCUGACAUGGGUGGGAUCAGUGGUGGGAUCAAUGGGAUGGAUGGGAUCAUUGGUGGGGUCAUGGGAUCAUCAGUGGCAUUCAUGGGAUCAGUGGGAUUUCUGGGAUGGAUGGGAUGAUCAGUGAGGUCAUGGGAUCAGUGUGAUCGCUGGUGUGGAUGGGAUCAUCACUGGGAUCCAUGGGAUCAGUGGGAUCGUUGGGAUGGGUGGGAUCAUCAGUGGGGUCAUGGGGUCGAUGGGUGACAUGGGUGGGAUCAUGGAUGGGAUCAUCAGCGGCAUCCAUGGGAUCAGUGGGAUCAGUGGGAUGGAUGGG